GGCUGUUAAGUGAUGACGUCACAGUUCCUUCGAUACGCAUAGCAACGAUCCCACUGGGGACAAACAAAAGUAGCGUCGUCUCCACCGAACCAGUUGUCAGUGGCAACAUAUAGGAAUCGUGUACAUUUCUUCGUUUCUUCUUUGCUGUUUUCAGUGAGUGUUUUGUUUUCUCUUUGUCCUUGAUCUCGACGGCGUUGUCGUGCUCAUUACCUUACUGAGACGUCUCUUGUGACUGUAGCCAGUGUCACGGAGGAUUUUAUUGGCGUGACGAGGUAGAUCGCCGAGAUCGAGCGUGAAAAACGCUCUGCAUUAGUAGCUCCUGUAGAAUGUCUUCUGGGAUGGCGUAUCCAUGGUCAACAAAGCCAAGGUGCAAGACAGCAUAAGAGAUCGUGUAAACGAUGUGAACUCCAAAAGGUUCAAGGCUAGAUGCACUUCACAUUCGGCGUGGGAUCUCGGCGUCUCGGACCUGAUAACGUCUUGGUUGGAUGGGUGAUCAAGGAUGAUACUACUCGGCACACCAAUGUACAUGUACAUGUCAAUGUAGUUUUUACUUUUUCAGAGCUGCACUAUUUACGUCUUGAUGCUUACUUCGGUGCUAGUGUCGUGUCCGUGUGUUGCUACAAUGUCAUUAUCUGUAUUGUAUUCCGUCUGCUUAUACAUGUGUCUUUAUGAAGUGUUUGCCAUGGCGGCGAUGUGUCUUGUCGAUCAAUAGUGUUGUGAAACCUAUCACUAUUCAUCCUUUGCUGGCUACUUGCUCGCUCCGCGCCGUGCACGCUACUAGGUCUUGUAGUAUAUAGCUCGAUGCUUUGCAUCGAUCGCUGGUUGUUGUUGUUCUUGUUGCUUCUCUGUUGUUUGAGCUUGGUCCUAGAGUGAA